rnacentral:rRNA from 1 species
AUUGAACGCUGGCGGCAUGCCUUACACACGCAAGUCGAACGGCAGCACGGGUGCUCGCACCUGGUGGCGAGUGGCGAACGGGUGAGUAAUACAUCGGAACGUACCUUAUCGUGGGGGAUAACGCAGCGAAAGCUGUGCUAAUACCGCAUACGCCCUGAGGGGGAAAGCGGGGGAUCGCAAGACCUCGCGCGAUUAGAGCGGCCGAUGCCUGAUUAGCUAGUUGGUGGGGUAAAAGCCCACCAAGGCGACGAUCAGUAGCUGGUCUGAGAGGACGAUCAGCCACACUGGGACUGGGACACGGCCCAGACUCCUACGGGAGGCAGCAGUGGGGAAUUUUGGACAAUGGGGGCAACCCUGAUCCAGCAAUGCCGCGUGGGUGAAGAAGGCCUUCGGGUUGCAAAGCUCUUUUGUCAGGGAAGAAACACCGGCUCUAACACAGUCCGGGAAUGACGGUACCUGAAGAAUAAGCACCGGCUAACUACGUGCCAGCCGCCGCUGUAA